CUCCCACCCACCCCGAUCCUGAGCGUUGGUAAAACUGGGAAGGCAGUAGCACGGGCGGAGGAGGGCAGUGGUGAGGAAGAACAGUUAAGACUUUAAUCUGUCAGCAGACUUUUAAUCUGGCAGGUGGUGCUGUAGAAAGGGUCAGUCAGGAGAAAGGCAGUGCCCCCUCCCACUAGGACAGCCAGUGUCAGACUUGGCCCCCACCCCCCACCCUCCAGGGCAUCCAGCCCAAGUACCAGGUCCUGCUAGAAACUAGCUCUGCCAGUUUGGGAUUCAUGAAGAUGGGGGAUCUCUAUUCCUCUCAGCAUAGCAUUGCAAGAUUCCCUGGGUCCACCGUCUUGCUUUGGAGCUAGGCUAGAAUAUGAUGAGCUUUUGAGGAUCGGAUUUGAACCCCAGGGAAGUCUCAAUUUUCUGUGGUGAGAAUAGGAGAAAGGAGGUUCUUUGAGCAGCUACCCUUUAAAAGGACCAGUAAGGUCUUGCAUGUGAGAGUGUGGGGUUAGGGAGUGAGGGAGAAGUCCUGGCACAAAAGUCCUGUCACUCUUUCUCCUCUCUGCCUGGGCUGUCCUGGGGCAUAGACAGAGGGUUGGGGAGCAC
rnacentral:lncRNA from 1 species